GGGUCCCUUCCAACUCUACAGUCUAUGAAUCUAUGAAUCCAAACACCCCAGCUGAGUUAAACCAGAACCUUCCCCUUGGUCCCCUUUUAUGAAAUAAGCUCCAUCUCACCCCCAGAACCAAUGCCCCCUGCUCUCUGAUCAUGUUCAGAGCUAGCUUUAUAGCUCAUUCCUAGCUUCAUAGCUCAGGCUCCUCUAUAACAUGUGCUAUGACCAUGAAGGUCAAGACCCUCAGUUCUUCAUGCAUGAUAUGCGACCCCUCCUUGAAGUAACGGCCAGGCACAGGCAUUUGUUUUUAUCCAUUGCAUUCUCUCUCCAUUUCUGGUUGCUCAGCUCCCUUCUGACAAGUGCAAGAAAUAUGUGCGCUCCUAGGUCCUUGCAAGCCAGGCAUUAGUCAUGCUGUGCGUUUCAAGGACAUUAGUCUGCUAGUUUCUCAGCUUUAACAAAAUACACAUUUUGCCAGGAGGGCUUUGUCUGUGUUUACAGGUUACUUGUAAAAGUCAAACUGCAUCCUUUUGCUGAAGAAGCAUGGCAGCCCGUCUAUGGGAAGAAGAACAGUGGCAAAAAAACCAGAACCAGUUAGAUGAGCCCUUCAAUCUUUUUCCUUCUGAUAAAAUGGCUUCUGAGAUGGCACUCCAGUUGGAAAGAAGAUGUUCUUGGGAGCACCUUAGGAGAAUUCAAGUCUCUUACUGCUGAACCACUGCAGGAAUGCUGCUGAAUGACAUAUUGGAAACUCAAAGAACAAUCUGAGUAGUUGAAGCUAUUCCCUCAGGAUGGUGCCUCACAGACAAACAUCCCAAAAGGAUUGUUUUUGCCUUGAGAAACAGUUUGCAAGAGAAAUGAUGCUUCUUUAAUGGACUGUGUAAAGGAAGUCGGUAUAUCCAAACAUGUCUUGUGCUCAAUCCUGAGAGAUGCUGAGCAUCUACAGCUCCCAUUAGAGCAGUGGGAGCAGAGGCAACCCUGCCCCUCUCUGGAUCAGGCCCCAGACUUUAGAACAAAUAUUCUUCUAUUUGUUUUUGAAGUGGCCUGAUGGUUUUCUGUCAUCUUCUAAUGGGCUGUUGUUUUACUCCUGUGCAUGUCCAUAACAUUGCAAAUCUGACACUCACGUGCUGCUGUGCAAGCAGAGGUUCAAAAAUAUCCAUGGAAAAGGGAACUAUUUCCUUCUCCAUUUUACAGAGGAGUCAACUGAGGCAUACCAAUAUUUGCCAAACUAGUUUCCCAUCUUAGUGAUACUAAUAAUUGAUUCCCUUUGUAAAGUACCUUGAAAUCUACUGAUCAAAAUGUGGAGAGCAAGGCAUUAUUUACUACAUGAUUUUUAUAAUAAGCAUCCUGGAGAAGGGGUCUGAGGAUCUAUAAAGCACAAGAGUCUUUAUCUGCAGGUCUGGUUGGAAUCCAAACACAAGGCUGUUGCAAAGCAAAAGUUUCCAUCUUAUGGCUAUUUGC